rnacentral:rRNA from 1 species
GACGAACGCUGGCGGCGUGCUUAACACAUGCAAGUCGAACGGAAAGGCCCUGCUUUUGUGGGGUGCUCGAGUGGCGAACGGGUGAGUAACACGUGAGUAACCUGCCCUUGACUUUGGGAUGACUUCAGGAAACUGGGGCUAAUACCGGAUAGGAGCUCCUGCUGCAUGGUGGGGGUUGGAAAGUUUCGGCGGUUGGGGAUGGACUCGCGGCUUAUCAGCUUGUUGGUGGGGUAGUGGCUUACCAAGGCUUUGACGGGUAGCCGGCCUGAGAGGGUGACCGGCCACAUUGGGACUGAGCUACGGCCCAGACUCCUACGGGCGGCAGCAGUGGGGAAUAUUGCACAAUGGGCGGAAGCCUGAUGCAGCAACGCCGCGUGCGGGAUGACGGCCUUCGGGUUGUAAACCGCUUUCGCCUGUGACGAAGCGUGAGUGACGGUAAUGGGUAAAGAAGCACCGGCUAACUACGUG